CCAAAGGCUCUUUUAAGAGCCACUGACAUAAUCCCUGAAGGAGCUU
rfam:Chlamydotis undulata macqueenii contig19492, whole genome shotgun sequence.